rnacentral:rRNA from 1 species
GUCGAACGAAAAGACGGAAAGAGCUUGCUCUUUUCAGAAUUGAGUGGCACACGGGUGAGUAACACGUAAACAACCUGCCUUCAGGAUGGGGACAACAGACGGAAACGACUGCUAAUACCGAAUAAGUUCCAAGGGCCGCAUGGCCCAUGGAAGAAAAGGUGGCCUCUACCUGUAAGCUAUCGCCUGAAGAGGGGUUUGCGUCUGAUUAGCUGGUUGGAGGGGUAACGGCCCACCAAGGCGACGAUCAGUAGCCGGUCUGAGAGGAUGAACGGCCACACUGGAACUGAGACACGGUCCAGACUCCUACGGGAGGCAGCAGUGGGGAAUCUUCCGCAAUGGGCGAAAGCCUGACGGAGCAACGCCGCGUGAGUGAUGACGGCCUUCGGGUUGUAAAACUCUGUGAUCCGGGACGAAAAGGCAGAGUGCGAAGAACAAACUGCAUUGACGGUACCGGAAAAGCAAGCCACGGCUAACUACGUGCCAGCAGCCGCGGUAAUACGUAGGUGGCAAGCGUUGUCCGGAAUUAUUGGGCGUAAAGCGCGCGCAGGCGGCUUCCCAAGUCCCUCUUAAAAGUGCGGGGCUUAACCCCGUGAUGGGAAGGAAACUGGGAAGCUGGAGUAUCGGAGAGGAAAGUGGAAUUCCUAGUGUAGCGGUGAAAUGCGUAGAGAUUAGGAAGAACACCGGUGGCGAAGGCGACUUUCUGGACGAAAACUGACGCUGAGGCGCGAAAGCGUGGGGAGCAAACA